rnacentral:rRNA from 1 species
UACGGAGGGAGCUAGCGUUGUUCGGAAUUACUGGGCGUAAAGCGCACGUAGGCGGCUUUGUAAGUUAGAGGUGAAAGCCCGGAGCUCAACUCCGGAACUGCCUUUAAGACUGCAUCGCUUGAAUCCAGGAGAGGUGAGUGGAAUUCCGAGUGUAGAGGUGAAAUUCGUAGAUAUUCGGAAGAACACCAGUGGCGAAGGCGGCUCACUGGACUGGUAUUGACGCUGAGGAGCGAAAGCGUGGGGAGCAAACAGG